UACGGGGGGGGCAAGCGUUGUUCGGAAUUACUGGGCGUAAAGGGCUCGUAGGUGGCCAACUAAGUCAGACGUGAAAUCCCUCGGCUUAACCGGGGAACUGCGUCUGAUACUGGAUGGCUAGAGAUUGGGAGAGGGAUGCGGAAUUCCAGGUGUAGCGGUGAAAUGCGCAGAUAUCAGGAAGAACACCUAUGGCGAAGGCAGCACUCUGGGACGGUACUGACGCUGAGACGCGAAAGCGUGGGGAGCGAACAGG
rnacentral:rRNA from 1 species